UUGUUGUUCAUGCCUUUUCCAGAUGACCUGAGUAUGCUGAACCCCACAGAGCCCUGCAGGCCCUGGAGGGAGCUCAGCACUUCCCCCCCUUGACACAACUUACUGCUUCCUCCUGUGUCCCUGCAGGAAAGAGUCUGCCCUUCACAAAGCUGAAUUAAUUGGAAAGCUUCUUGGACUUUUUAGAAGUCAGCAAUACCCUAAUUCAAAGGGAUUUAGCCAAUCAAGAGAUGAGACUCCCUUACGAAAGCACAACCCAAACUUUCUAUUAUAUUUAAUGAGAUGUUACUCACUAAUUUGACGGCUGGUUUCAGCCAGCUUGACCAGCACAGAAAUCUCAUUUACUGGUGUGGUAUUUGUACACUGGUUUUCCCAGGCCGUUCUGAGGCUUGAUGGGACACUGGUCAUGAACCACUCAGGUACGAAGGUCAAUUUAAGCAAUAAGGAAAUUAGGUAAUUUGUAAAGCCAGUCAGUCAUGAAACAGUGUCUGAAUGUGGAAAUUUCUCAUCUUUUACACCUCUUAUUGCAUGCAUGUCUCACCCCUGGAAAAAGUGUGAGAAAAUUCCCAAUUUUAAGAGCUAAGAAAGUGGCAGGUAAUUCACGCAGGGAUUUUUACACUCUGACCAUAUCUGUCUGAAGUACUCAUUUUACAGCCUAAGCACCUCUGAGCCCUGGAGUCAUUCUCCCUGGCAGCACACCAUUGCUGAGACUACCUUUGAAGUUUUUCUUUAGUUCCUUUCAAGUUCCUUCAGCAAGCUGUUCCGUUCCCAUCUUUUUUUAUACUCCCUUGUGAUGGUUUUACAUUUAACAAUCUGCUACUUGUGGCUUUAUGUUUAACAUGUCCUGUUUGUUCUCUGUUUUAUUUUCCCUCCCUAAGUACAAAUCGCAUCCUUUGAAGACCAUCUCUUCACUUCUGAUGCCUCUUUUCCCCUCCUGUUUUAUUACAGAACUUUUUGAGGGUCUGUGGAUUGGCUGCCUUCCUCUCAGGUUUUGGCAUCACCUUCACAUGUUUUAACCCUUUUUGGCAGUAAUAUUGUUUUCUUCUCGUAUCAAAGUAUCAGUGCAUAGAGUGCCCUGAACUUCAGAGUGCUCCAUGAAGAGGGAGAAGACCUUCCUGCUCUGAGUUUUAACAGCUCCACGCUUUGGGAUGUGGGGUUUGUAGCUCCAAGCCUGUGCUGUGUUCUGUGUGGGUGUCUCCUCUGGCCUUUGGAGCAAGGCAGCAGUGCCAGCUCCCCCUGCACUCCCCCCCAGCCCUGUACCUUGCACCAGGAGAGGUGGUCUUGGACGCUGUCGAUGGAGAGCGCGAUCAUCUUCACGUUGCGCUUGCUGAACUCGGCUGCCAGCUUGGCUGCCCGGCCCAGCUCUGUGGUGCAGACAGGGGUGAAGUCCCGUGGGUGGGAAAAGAGGAUGCCCCAUCUGGAAGGAGAGAGCAGGAGUUGGUGUUAGGGUGAGAUGUCGGUUUGGUCUGUGCCAGAAAGACCUGUGCAGAUUGCAUGGCACGGAGACCAAUGAAGGAACAGCCUGUCUCUGUGGAUCCCACAGGAGAUGCUGGAAGAGCAGAUGUUUCUUGGUGUGGAGGUGGACACCAUGCCACGUGAGGAAGUCUGGGGGAACCAUGUGUACCCUGCACUCCAGAAACCACAUGUGUUAGGAGAUGUAAAUGCCAACCUGCCAGCCACGUGACUGCAGAGACAAUCACUGAUUCACAAGGCUGGUCACUGUCCUGUAUACCUCAUCCAGCACUGCGAGGAGAUACACUCAGUUCACAAUGCCGACAAGAAGGGGACUCAAACGCUGAUUCAAGCCUGCCAAGCGUUGCCGGGAGCGAGCCUCAAACAUUCUGUGCCUGUGUCAAAAAUGGAGCAACAGGCUUUG